CGAAAGCCUGACGGAGCAAUACCGCGUGAGGGAGGAAUGCCUUUGGGUUGUAAACCUCUUUUCUCAGGGAAGAAGAUCUGACGGUACCUGAGGAAUAAGUAUCGGCUAACUCCGUGCCAGCAGCCGCGGUAAUACGGAGGAUGCAAGCGUUAUCCGGAAUCAUUGGGCGUAAAGCGUCCGCAGGUGGUUUCCAAAGUCUGCUGUUAAAGACUGGAGCUCAACUCCGGAACGGCGGUGGAAACUUGGAAACUAGAGUUCGGUAGGGGUAGCAGGAAUUCCCAGUGUAGCGGUGAAAUGCGUAGAUAUUGGGAAGAACAUCGGUGGCGAAGGCGUGCUACUGGACCGCAACUGACACUCAGGGACGAAAGCUAGGGUAGCGAAAGGGAUUAGAUACCCCUGUAGUCCUAGCCGUAAACGAUG
rnacentral:rRNA from 1 species